rnacentral:piRNA from 1 species
UCCUCCCUUGUGAGCCAUUUCAGUGGAGU